rnacentral:tRNA from 1 species
GCGAGCGUGGUUUAGUGGCAGAACAUUUGCUUCCCAAGCAAGUAGCGCGGGUUCGAUUCCCGCCGCUCGCA